ACGGAGGGUGCAAGCGUUGUUCGGAAUCACUGGGCGUAAAGGGCGCGUAGGCGGCCGCACCAGUCCGAUGUGAAAGCCCGGGGCUCAACCCCGGAAGUGCAUUGGAAACUGUGCGGCUUGAGUUCGGGAGAGGAAGGCAGAAUUCCCGGUGUAGGGUUGAAAUCCGUAGAUAUCGGGAGGAAAACCGGUGGCGAAGGCGGCCUUCUGGAACGAAACUGACGCUGAGGCGCGAAAGCGUGGGGAGCAAACAGGAUUAGAGACCCUGGUAGUCCACGCUGUAAACGAUGGAUGCUGGGUGUGGGUGACAAUACGGUCAUCUGUGCCGAAGCUAACGCAUUAAGCAUCCCGCCUGGGGAGUACGGUCGCAAGACUA
rnacentral:rRNA from 1 species